UUGACAGUGAAUUCUCUCCACAGCCAGGAGGUGUCAGACGCUUAACAAUAGUCCAUACACCUCAAGGUACAAAAUAAAACCAGCAAGUAAUUUAUGAAGGUAUUGAUCUUGAUAAUAUAAUCCUCAUUGGUAUAAUUUUAUAAUUGUAGAAACUGAUAAUUAUGAUAAAAUAUCCAAGAAAAGGAGGUUUCAGGAGAAUAAGGGAUUUAUCUUAUUUUGAAGGUAUUCAUAUAAUUACUACAAUUGAAUGUAUUUUUUAAAAUUUAAAAUGUUAAUUUUUAUAAUUCUAUAUCUGUUCAUAGGAAGUGAAACAGAGGAAAAUAAUGUCCAAAACAAAAUUGCAGUAACUUUGCCAUCGAUGCAACUAGAACAGAUGAAAGUAUAGAAAUAUACGGACAAAAUGAAUCUGAAAAUGAUGCUGCUAUGGAAGUUACAAAUGUUUCAAGAUAUACACAGACAAUUACAACUUCAACACCUCCAUCCUCCAGUCAUAUUGAUGCCGGUGUGCAAGUUGGAUCCCAAGUACAGUCACCUGUUCAAGAAGAAAUCAUAAAUAUUAUGGAUUCUCUAAAGAAUUUAAAUGCACUGGUUCAAAAGCUAUACAACGCUUAUGUUGUGGAGAAGAUGUAUUUGUGAUAGAUCUGGAGUUUCCCCUCCCAGGUCUGUAGAUCUGCACUCCUGACUAUGAUCAGUAAUUGGAACCAGAUUUAUAAUGACCUCUCUUGAGGAAU